rnacentral:rRNA from 1 species
AUUGAACGCUGGCGGCAGGCCUAAAACAUGCAAGUCGAACGAGUGGCGGACGGGUGAGUAAUGUCUGGGAAACUGCCUGAUGGCGGGGGAUAACUACUGGAAACGGUAGCUAAUACCGCAUACCAUCGGAUGUGCCCAGAUGGGAUUAGCUAGUCGGUGGGGUAAAGGCUAACCUAGGCGACGUUCCCUAGCUGGUCUGAGAGGAUGACCGGCCACACUGGAACUGAGACACGGUCCAGACUCCGACGGGAGGCAGCAGUGGGAAAUAGUGCACAAUGUGCGCAAGCCUGAUGCAGCCAUGCCGCGUGUAGGAAGAAGGCCUUAGGGUUGUAAAGUACUUGCAGCGGGGAGGCGUUACCCGCAGAAGACGCACCGGCUAACGCCGUGCCAGCAGCCGCGGUAAUUC